GACGAACGCUGGCGGCGUGCUUAACACAUGCAAGUCGAACGGAAAGGCCUGUCCUUCCUUGUGUUGGACGGGUACUCGAGUGGCGAACGGGUGAGUAACACGUGAGUGAUCUGCCCCCAACUUGGGUAUAAGCCUGGGAAACUGGGUCUAAUUCCCGAUAGGACUGCAGGGUGGUGCCUGUGGUGGAAAACGAUUUUCUAGUGGUUGGGGAUGAGCUCGCGGCCUAUCAGCUUGUUGGUGGGGUAAUGGCCUACCAAGGCGGGGACGGGUAGCCGGCCUGGGAGGGUGGACGGCCACAUUGGGACUGGGAUACGGCCCAGACUCCUACGGGAGGCAGCAGUGGGGAAUAUUGCACAAUGGGCGGAAGCCUGAUGCAGCGACGCCGCGUGGGGGAUGACGGCCUUCGGGUUGUAAACUCCUUUCGACCGCGAGGAAGCCGCCUGGUUGGAAGGGUGGUGACGGUAGUGGUAGAAGAAGCACCGGCUAACUACGUG
rnacentral:rRNA from 1 species